UACUGAUGAGUUUCUUUGCUGGAGCAUCACAAGGGAUUCUGAUUUUGAUUCUGUUAAAAUUCUGGCCAAGAGCUUCAUGUGCAGAGCUUCACAUGUUAAUUGGUGGAUCAGACAUUAGGAAAGUUAAACAGGACACUGGCAUAAAACUAGUCUCAUUGAACUGUGCAGUUCUUCUGCUAAUGGAGCCAACACAUGAAGAGUUAUCACUUCACUUUUCAUUUGUCCAAAAGAAAACUUGGAAUCCAAAGUGGGCGAAGUUAAUGAAGAAAAUCAUCUGAGAAAAAACGUGUGACUGUUGGAAUAAACUUGAAGUAGGCCAAAAUAGAGAACUUCAUUUGGCAGACAUUCUGGAAACAGAAUGCUUCUGAGCCUUGGGAGUGUCUGAAUGUUCACAAUGAUACUGAACUUCAGGACAUGGAGUGUGGUGGAUGGACUGUAGAAGACUGGUGUUGUGGGUAGGAAGAAAAAGUCAGAGGUUAUGUUGUCACCUCUGUGAACAAUAAUGAAUGUGGAUUAAAGGAGUUGAGUUGACUCUGUCAGCCCUUCUGGAGCCCACAACUGAGCAGGGAUAGCUCAGUGAACAUCAAGCCAGAGUAUGAGACCUUUCAGAGUGCAGACAGAGGAUGCACCAAGGGGUGUGGUAGGGUGAAGUUUCCAGUGAUGGUGGCUGGGGCAUCCAACUGAGGGAGUUAAAUAAAGGGUUGUAUGGAGUAAAGAGUGUCUGGAUUAGAGAGGCGGAUUGAGUUCAGGACAAGGAUAGAUUCCUUAGAGAAGGCUCCUUUCAAAGACCUAAUUCUGGAAGGAAUUUUCUUGGGGUAGAAUAAAGCAGCAACUAUACUAACUAAAGGUCCCAGUUUCUAUUACACUGGCUGCAAUGUAGACAUAUGUCUACUUCAUACCUCUGAAUCUUUGAUAUGUCGGGUCAGUGAAGGGAUGAAAACUAUUCACCCCAGUUAUAUCAUAGAGCUGUGUGAUGAUUAAUUUUACGCACCAACCUAGCUAGGCUAUGGUACAAACACAACAGAUGUUGCUGUAAAAAUAUUUUUUAGAUGUGAUUAACAUUUAAGUCAGUAGACUUUGAGGAAAGCAGACUAUCCUCCAUAAUGUGGGCAGGCCUCAUCUAAUCAGUUGAAGGCCUUAAGAAAAAAGGCUGAGAUCUCUAGAAGAGGAAGAAAUUCUGCCUUCAGACUGCCUUUGCACUCAUGACUGUAACACUGAUACCUGCCAGACUUUCCAGCCUGAUACUGCCCCCAUAAUUGCAUUAACCAAUUGCUUAAAACAAAAAUAAAUCUCUCUGUCAUAUACAUA